GAGGGUAUAGCCCAAGUGGUAGAAUGUGUGCUUAGCAUGCAAAAGGUCCUGGGUUCAAUCCCCAGUACCUCCU
rfam:Camelus ferus unplaced genomic scaffold scaffold513, whole genome shotgun sequence.